AUACGGAGGGUGCAAGCGUUACUCGGAAUCACUGGGCGUAAAGCGCGCGCAGGCGGCUAUUUAAGUUGGAUGUGAAAGCCUACGGCUCAACCGUAGAACUGCAUCCAAAACUAUUUAGCUAGAGUGUGGGAGAGGAAGAUGGAAUUAGUUGUGUAGGGGUAAAAUCCGUAGAGAUAACUAGGAAUACCAAAAGCGAAGGCAAUCUUCUGGAACACUACUGACGCUGAGGCGCGAAAGCGUGGGGAGCAAACGGGAUUAGAGACCCUAGUAGUCC
rnacentral:rRNA from 1 species